rnacentral:lncRNA from 1 species
CUCAACACCAAGGUCACCUCACAAUCCUCCUCCUUGUGCUGCUCCUGAGGAGAGGAGUGCUGCCAUUUUCACACACUGAUGCACAGGCGGGCUUAAAGUGACACAUCCCCACAGUGUUUACAGAUUUGGAGUAAGCAGCAUGAGUCCAUGGCCCAUCCUACCUGGUGUCAACAGUACAGGCUGGUGGAGUUUCUGCCGUUGUGUACCUUUCUGACUCUACCCUGGAUUACCGACCUCUGCCUGCCCUUGACCUGUCGUCUGCUUGCCCCCCUGUUUUGGUGUGGGGAAUGUUUUCCUGGC